CGCGCUCGAAUGUUAGCACAGACUGAGUCUGUGGUGUAAGUCUAAGCUUGGUCUAAGUAAAGAUGUCUGGCUGUCUGUUUCUUCACUGACUUUUCUUUUACAUUUAAUGUCAGUACGUACAUAUUUGUAAUGGCAGACCCACUGAUCUACAUACUUGUCACUUUUACUAAAAGUGGAGAAUUGGGCAUUGGCACAUUGGAGGCCAUAGCAGUGCCGAAAGAUUUCCAUGACCAUAGUUUCGAUGAUCAGCUCGAGCAAUUAAAAGGUUUUGUUGGAACAAAAAAAGUUAUUGGGAUCAAUUGGCCCAAGUUUCCCAGCAAUCCUGGUUGGAACCUACCCGUUGAGUUGACUACCAAAUCUAGAUCCCAAAUUCAACAUGACAUGAGAUCAUGUAAAGUUAUCUCGUACUCAGAGGACAGAGAUGUGGUGGUGGCAGUACGAGAUGCCAUGGUGCCUCCUAUCAGUGUCCAAAAGCCAGUAGCCAAAAAAUCAGCCCCGAAGUCAUGAAAAAUGAAGAAAAGUCCGAUACAUCUGCUGACAGCAGCCUUCAUCAUGAUGAUGAUCAGCAAGGAAUUUUUUCUUCAGAAUCAGAGUCUGACGAAGAUUUGAUUCCUCCGCCUCCAACGAAGAGAAAACGUAGCAAUCAGUCUGUCAAAUCAUUGGGCAACACCAAAUCCAAGAGAAAUUCAAGUCACAACAAGGAAAAUUCAUUUGUCACACCAAAAAGAAACGAAAAGUCAUCAGCGAAGAAUUCUGACUCUCAGAUUCUUACUUCUUUGGACUUCAACAUUUUUGACACCCCCCCAAGUUCCACAACAAAAGAAAACCCGAAGCGUGUGCUGGUAAUAAAUGCAACAUGAUUGUAAGAAUUAUUUCUUUAUUUAAUUUGUAUUUUCCGUUUAAGGACGAACCAUUGACGGAGCCAGUUAAUGCUGACGUUCAAGACGACGUUUAUGUGCAGCCCCACUUUCGAGUUCAACAGAUUUCCUGUUCUUUCAGUCAUUCAUUCUUUUCUUUUUCAAUUUUCUACUUUUUUUAUGUUUCAUUUUCAACUUCUUUGAAUAAUCUCCUCCAUCGCGCAGCAUGGUCACCUCGACACAACGUUAUUUGCUCUUUUCCGAUGACCCUCCCAUCCUCUCUCUAUCAUCCUUUCAGCUUCUUAAGAGGUCAUUUUUUUCCCUGCCGUUUCUCUCUUCUAAUUCAAAGUUGAUUGUACCGGAUUGUACGUAUAUUCGUUACGUUUUAGUUAACGUCAUUUCAAAAACAUAGAAUCGUGUCGUAAUUGAUUGAGUUUCGAGUCCAUGUUGCCGUGAAAACUCUCGAGCAAGAGUUCAGUGUGUUGACGAGAAAACUCCCCUCCUACAUUUUCCUCAUUUGUAAUACAGGUUGACUGUAAAGUUUAAAUGUCGGGCAGUCUGUCCAUUUGCUCGUCGACGACACCUCCGACGAAUUGCCGUUGCUGAAAAUUGUCGUUUUUUAUUGGUGUUAAAUUGAAUUAACGCGGAAGUGGCCAACAUUGAACUUAGAUAUUGCUCGUAUUCUUAUUGUGUUCAUUUUAAAUGUAAAAAUGUAUGUGUGGUGUAUUUUAAUCGAUGUCCCUCCAAGGCCUACUUGUAACAUGGAAAAGAAUUUGAUUAAACCAAUGAUGGUUUAAUUUCAAUACAAAGAUUUCAGUUCCUUUAAAGCUAA
rnacentral:misc_RNA from 1 species